AUGAAACGUCAAAAAAGCAGGAAGGCGAUCAGCAUCGGAAUGAUUUAUAUGUGAAUUCUUUCAGACAGAACUCAACUACCUGCUACCCAUCACCAAAGACAAGGAUCAAGUUCAGCCCCUCCAGAACUGCCAACUCCACAGAAGAUGCUUUACACAAGGGAAGAAACAAAACAUGAGAGGCCAGCUGUUCGUGGGGUAACGUCUUCACAUUGCCAUUUUGCUGUCAACGAUAAUUAGAAGAGCUUUGAUAUUUAUCUCACAUUUGGGCAAACAUUGCUUGAACAGAAGACCGCGAACAACUACAUCGAUAUGGAAAGUGCAAGUCAGUUAUGAUCAUUUAAAAAUGUGUUAACUUCUGUAAAAUAGUAGCCUGUGGUUUGUUUCUCACAUGAAGUGUUGGGUCUUGAUGUUAAAAAUUAGAGCCUACAGAUACUGGGACUCCAGUCAAAAGCAUUUUCUUGAUUGGGAGAUUUAUCCUGUGCUAAGUAGUCGUGAUUCUGGACAAAUAUACAGCUCAAAAGCUGCAAUGGAAAGCACUGAAUUGCCACCACUUCAACCACAUCACUGUGCACUUGAAUGCCUUCUUCAGCAAACAACUGAAAGUUCCCUCAGAAAUGCUUCACCUACCCCUGUCAUUGCUUUCUGCUGGGGGUGCAAGAAGAAACGAGCGGAAGUUGGCAUCAUUACCACUUGUGUUGUGAUGUUCACCUGGUCUUGAUACCUCCAGGGAUGGGGCAGCCACAACUUCCCUGGGCAAACCUGUUCCAGUGUCUCACCACUCUCAUGGUGAAGAAAUUCCUUCUGAAGAGCACACUAAGAUGGUACAGACUCAGAGUGGUCCCCAGACACUGCAAUUCAGCCAAAAUACCUGUAUUUGAUAUUCGGAAUUAAGGCAAUUUAAAUUAUACCCUGAAAGUUUGUACAGUUGUGAAAAAAAAUAAAGCGACAAAUACAUUUUUUAGGCUAGAUAUUAGGAGAUUACUUUAUCAAAAGGGUUGUCAAGCACAGGAGCAGGCUGCCCAGGGACAGGAUUGAGUCCCCAUCUCCGGAGGGAUUUAAGAUGUAGAUGUGGUGCUUAGGGACACAGUUUAGGGGUGAACCUGGCAGUGUUUGGGUAAGGGUUGGACUUAAUGAUCUUAAAGGUUUCUUUCAAUCUAAAUAAUUCCACGCUUUUAUGAUUUGAAACCCAACAUUCUAAUGUCAAAGGACAUUUUCUAUUCUCAUCAUCUGCUUUUAAGGAAUGAGACAAAGAAAGUAAACGACAGUGGAUUUGGGAGAUGCUGCUCCAAGCACCUUAGAGCUUCUAGUCACCAAACUGUCUAUGCCUACCAAAAACCCUGACAAGCAUUAAAUUACAUUUAUGUAUUGCACAAGAAGAUGACCAUGAGAUAAUAUCAAUACAGCACUGAGAUACCUUUAAAUGAUCAUGCAAAAAAAGCCAUAAAAUUCAUUAGUAACCUUUUGAAGUCUGAGCAAAGUCUGUAUAGUUUAGGUGAUUAAAAAAAAUGAGCGAGAACUUGGUUUUGCAACGCCUCUGAAAUCAAUUACGUCGCAAGGAAAUUAUGUCAAUGACGAAUAUUGUUAAUGUAUUUACUCAGCAUACAGAUUGUCUGUGGUUUUACGUAAAAAUGGCUAUGAAAUGGAACCCAAACAGUGUGAGAAAUGCAGCCGCACGUACCAUACGUUAUCCCGGACACUGAAAAAUGCAGAGAACGGACCUGGAAAAGGAUGGUGGCAGCGGCACAGUUAUGUCGAAGCAAGUUAUGAGCACGGAGUGAAGGUAAAGAGAAGGUACAUGACUUGCCAACUGCCGAAAGUAAGAAAGAGCAGUCGGAUUCAUGAAUCCUUACUCUGCACAUCAGCCUCGGGAGCAUCAGCAUUUCACAACCACACUGAAAUCAGGAAUUAAAGGCAAAACCUAUGGAAACUUAAUAUUUUGGAUUUAAGAUCCCUUUAGUUGUCCUUCAUGCUUACACUGCCUGUUGCCACCAUCGCCUUGGCUAUGCUUUACCCUCCUUUUCUGGCUUAAUCAACAAGUAAAACAGGCAGAGACUAAAGAAGUACAGACACACCAAAAACAUCCUGGAAAGCUCACAAAAAAAACGAGGCAGAGACAAAAAUAAACAAUGAUAUGAAAAUAUAAGCCCUUUGAGUUGAAAGUACAAUGCUCAGAUAGAGCUUCUGCAAAUGUUUAUGGGUGCCAGCAUCACAAACAUCUACCACGUCUCUCUGAAAGACUUAAUUUAUUGAUUCUUUUACAAUUUAAGUGUAUGUCUGCAUCCAGAUACAACCACGCUGGUGUAAUGACCUGAAUGGGCUUGGCUUGUACACAAGGCACGGCAAGUUUUGCAAUCCAAUUUUGAGCUCUGACGGUGCUCAUUUUUACAACGUGGAGACUUCGUGUGAAGAAUAGGUUUUUAGAAGAUUGCUCAGUACGUUAAUAACUCAAAGAGCACAUUGGAUGUACUCAUUCCGUGGGACAGGGGAUACUCUUUGGGCAUUGCCUUCCAGAAACAAAAGUGAAGAAAAGCACUGAGAAAACAGUUUCUCUCUGUGAGACGGGAGAGUGAGGGGCAAAAAAACUCCCAGACAGUAAAGAUUCAAUCCAACACUGAACCGCUUCAUCUGAUUUUGUCCCAUCACAGCAACACAGAACGGAGCUCUUAUUUGGCUCCAUCUCAGCCGGCGUCUUCUUUGCCCUCGUGUAAAGGUAGAGAGCGUACAGCUGCAGCACGAGCCUCCCUCCAGCGCAGCAGGCUUCCUCCUCAUUUAGAGAGCUUCCUCCAAGCAUGCUCGGACUGAGAUUCAUUCCCGGAGAAGUCAACACUUCAGACUCAGGUGGGGAACAGGACUGGAUGACAGCUUUAAUUUCCACAUAGAUGAGACACCGCACUGCAUAUCAACUUUAUAUUAUCACCCGCCUACGAAUUCAAUGAUCUCUUCGAGCCCAAUCCCUGCAGCUGUUCAGAGUUCAGAACCCAGUAUAAACAAAAUUAGGAGCUAACAACUAACAAAAAUCCAGCUUUAGUGCUAUUUGUAAUCUUUUCAUUUUGGCUUAUAUUUGAAUCUUAAGUGAUUUUGAUUGCUAACAAAAGCGAAGACACAAAGUUACACUGGAAUUAUCU